rnacentral:rRNA from 1 species
UACGGGGGGGGCAAGCGUUGUUCGGAAUUAUUGGGCGUAAAGGGCGCGUAGGCGGCUUUGCAAGUGACGGGUGAAAUCCCUCGGCUUAACCGAGGAACUGCCUGUCAGACUGUAAGGCUUGAGACCGGGAGAGGUGAGUGGAAUUCCCAGUGUAGCGGUGAAAUGCGUAGAUAUUGGGAGGAACACCAGUGGCGAAGGCGGCUCACUGGACCGGUACUGACGCUGAGGCGCGAAAGCGUGGGGAGCAAACAGG